UUUAUUCCCUGAGCGCUUUCCGUAGAGCUCGGAGGGCGGGAAUGAAGAUGGCGCCGCCCAGUCUCCGCCCAGAGGAGCCGAGAGCUCGGGGCCCCACUCUUUAGUGCAGCCUCAGAGAAAAGGACUCAAUCCCUCCCGUCUCCCUGGUCCCCGGCUGCGCUCCAAGCUCACCCGGCCUGUCACCCACCGUUUCCGUCUCUGGCGCAUGGAGUCUCCAAAUCCAGAUUUCUGCCCCGCGAUCCUGUGCCACUCCUUCCAGAGAAGGAAGGAUCGUGACCUGAGCUGAAGGCAGUCGCUUAACCAGCUGAGCCACCGGUGCACCUCUGUAGUUGCUUUUCUGUUCCUAGAAUUGCUGCUCUUCUUCUCUUCCAUCUCCUGAGAUUUAAGGAUGGACUUAGGAAGCAGCAAGUACCCCAAAUUUCUGUUAAAGACAACCUGUUAAUGAACAUAAACCUCACAGUGUAAAAGCCGAAGUGUAGUUGAUGGAUGCCAGGAGUCAGAAAGUGAUGAACUGGAGUUCACCUGAUCCAGGCUCAGUCUGGCUAAAUGGCUUUGCUUUCCCCUGCGGGCCAAUGAGUCAACCAGAACAGCUUUGCCCCACAUCUGUUAUCCUUCUCCAGAGACCAGCAGGCUCACCAGCUGUUGAGGAUGAAAACGUUCUGGAAACCCAGCUGACCACCCCUUCUCCCUAAGAAUGGAAACAGUGGAAGGCUGACACAGCCUGGAUCCGUCGGUCAGUGUUACAAGCCAGCGGUAUCAUCAGAAUAAUGAUCACUAUCCUAUCUCCGCAUCCGAACUGAUCUCAUGGAUGCGGUUGAGGAGUGACGGUAUUGGAGAUUCUCUUCAAAAGAAGGUUUUACAGCUGGUCUUCUGUUAAUAACAGCACUAGGAACAGCAGUUUACAUUUACAGAAGGCUUACCAUGUUCCUGAUACCGUUCUAAGUUCCCUAAACUGCGCUCAUCAAAGUUUUACCUCCUUAAAGCCUCUGACUUCCUUCUUAAAGUUUGAUACGACACCUGGCUAAGAUUCAAGUGUUUGGGGGUUCAACUCCUGACUCUCCCACCCACUGUUUUUGUAACGUCUGAAUCUCAGUGUUUUCAUCUAUAAAGGGAGCAUAAUAAUACUUCCUCCCCAGAACUAAAUGAAGUAAUAUAGAUUUAAAAGCACCUGAUACAUAACAAGGUCACAAUGAAUGUUGGUUUCCUUCCCCGACACAGUUGGUAUUUUUAUUUUAAAUGUUCUAUUUUCAAAUAAUUUAAGACAUAAGACUAAAUAAAGUCAUUUGGGUUUUUUUAAAAGAUUUAUUUAUUUAUUUUAGAGAGAGACGUAUGCAGGUGGGAGGAGGGGCAGGGAAGAGGGAGAGAGAAUCCCAAGCAGGUUCCUCACUGAGCCUGGAACCCAACGCGGGGUUCGAUCUCAUGACCCUGAGACCAUGACCUGAGCCGAAAGCAGAAGUCAGACUCUCAACAAACUGACCCACCCAGGCACCCUUAAAUAAAGUGUUUUUAAAGAUAUAAAAGUAACUCUUAUCACCUUG
rnacentral:lncRNA from 1 species